GACGAACCGUACGAACGUUAUUCGGAAUCACUGGGCUUAAAGGGUGCGUAGGCUGCGCAGCAAGUUGGGUGUGAAAUCCCUCGGCUUAACCGAGGAACUGCGCCCAAAACUGCUGUGCUCGAGGGAGACAGAGGUGAGCGGAACUUAGGGUGGAGCGGUGAAAUGCGUUGAUAUCCUAAGGAACACCGGUGGCGAAAGCGGCUCACUGGGUCUCUUCUGACGCUGAGGCACGAAAGCUAGGGGAGCAAACAGG
rnacentral:rRNA from 1 species